rnacentral:rRNA from 1 species
AUUGAACGCUGGCGGCAGGCCUAACACAUGCAAGUCGAACGAGUGGCGGACGGGUGAGUAAUGUCUGGGAAACUGCCUGAUGGAGGGGGAUAACUACUGGAAACGGGAGCUAAUACCGCAUACCAUCGGAUGUGCCCAGAUGGGAUUAGCUAGUUGGUGGGGUAAAGGCUCACCUAGGCGACGAUCCCUAGCUGGUCUGAGAGGGUGACCAGGCAGACUGGAACUGAGACACGGGUCAGACUCCUACGGGAGGCAGCAGUGGGGAAUAUUGCACAAUGGGCGCAAGCCUGAUGCAGCCAUGCCGCGUGUAGGAAGAAGGCCUUCGGGUUGUAAAGUCCUUUCAGCGGGGAGGCGUUACCCGCAGAAGAAGCACCGGCUAACUCCGUGCCAGCAGCCGCGGUAAUUC